GCAUCUGUAGCAGUAGACUUUUCCAACAACUUUAACGAUCAAGGAAUGAUGAGGAGGAUAGUAAGGAGUUGGGGGUGGUGGUGAAGUGUAGUAGUAAGGUGGAGGAGGUGACUUAACUGGUGGUGGAGGGGAGGAGUAGUAGUAAGGUGGAGGAGGUGACUUAACUGGUGGGGGAGGGGAGGAGUAGUAGUAAGGAGGAGGAGGUGACUUAACUGGUGGUGGAGGGGAAGAGUAGUAGUACGGUGGUGGAGGUGACUUAACUGGUGGUGGAGGAGAGGAGUAGUAGUACGGUGGAGGAGGUGACUUAACUGGUGGUGGAGGGGAGGAGUAGUAGUACGGUGGAGGAGGUGACUUAGCAGGUGGUGGUGGGGACUUGUAAUAGUAAGGUGGUGGGGGAGAGGGUGAAGGGGGUGGUGGUGAUUUAUAGUAGUAUGGUGGAGGUGGUGAUGGAGAAGGUGGUGGGGGAGACUUGUAAUAAUAAGGUGGAGGUGGUGAAGGUGAAGGUGGUGGCGGGGAUUUGUAGUAAUAUGGUGGUGGAGGUGAUGGUGAAGGAGGUGGUGGUGAUUUAUAUACAUAUGGUGGUGGUGGAGAUGGUGAUGGAGGUGGUGGCGACUUGUACACAUACGGCGGUGGAGGAGAUGGUGAAGGAGGAGGUGGCGACUUGUAAACGUAUGGAGGUGGUGGAGAUGGUGAAGGAGGUGGCGGUGAUUUAUACACAUAGGGUGGUGGUGGAGAUGGUGACGGUGGUGGUGGAGACUUGUACUCAUAAGGCGGUGGCGGAGAAGGAGAAGGAGGGGGUGGUGACUUGUAUUCGUAAGUUGGUGGUGGGGGAGAAGCAUAUACAUAAGGGUCAGCAGAAACAAUAUUAGCAACAGCCAAAAUGGCCAAUGCCACUAAGAUUUGUGGCACAUGACGACCCCGGCGGGGGUCGCCACCGUUAAGCCUCAUUGCUAGUCGGAAAAUUGCGACACCAACUCCUCUAAUGUGGCAAUGCAAAUCUGCACACUGUCGGAAGUGUGAGAAAAGAGAAAGAGAAGAAGCUUUAGUUGAGAGGUAAUGACUUAAGAGGAAGCAAUGGCCUAAGUAUUUAUAGUAACACUUAGUGAGACUGUGAGAGGCAGUCGUUGGUAUGGAGCUGUCAAUUGGCACCAAUUUAGUUUGUCCGAUUGAGAAUCAAGACUUUUCAAAUUAUGAACUCUAUACAGCUGGACUUCUCAAAAAAAUUUUAAGUUCCAUUACUUCAUCACUCUGCAUUUUCCAUUGUUUUUUUUUUCUCUAACAAGUGGUUACCUGCUACAUAGAUUUACAAAAAGAACAUAACAUUAUGCAGAGACGCAUGCUAUAAUUGUGUAAGGGAAAUAAGGAGUGUUUUUAAUUUUUUACAUUUUCACUCUUCGUUUCGUUUUCAAUAUUUUUGUUGCCUCUGAACCUUAAUGAAAAGUGGGAUCAUAGAAUUUGGUCUUUUAUUGUUGUCUUCCAUGGUUCUGUUUUCCUAGCCGCCGGGGUGGGGAUGGGGUGGGGGUGUGGGGUCCUAGGAAAUUAGGGUAGGUGGAGUUGCCUUUAAUUUGAGGUGCCCCUGUUUUACCACUAACCAAAUUAAUCAAAGCCAAUAGAUGUGUAAGCUUCACAAUUUGAGGAAAACUAUUUAUAUGGAGUAUGUAUUAUUGUUGAUUUAUGUUUUCUUACUGAUUCAUGUGAGCAUUUUAUCCACCAGAUACUUCACGAGCAAGUUAAAUUCUCUCAUCAAUAAGCCAAUGCACAAGAAUCUUAUCUUCUCCUUCUAUAUAUGCACGUGCGACCACAAAUAGUUACAAAAGUAAAGUUAAACACCACUUUAAUUAACUUUUAUUUAAUCUUAGCUUAUGGUAAAUAUUAAACAAAUUAAACAUUGAAGCUGGGGGUCUUCAUUAUCGCACUUCCCUGGAAGAACAACUUACUCUUACUUGAUAUUUACAUUAAACCAUUAAAUACAAGUGUCUUUCACAUAAAUAUUUAUUGCUUAAUCAAAGUUAACGGAUACAUAUUUUAUAUUAUUAACUUGUAACUGUGAAGGUUAAAUUGCUUAUUUUGAUGAAAUAUUGAGCACCAAUAUAAGUAUUUCCUUGAAAAAAACACCGAGGGUGUGAUUAGUUGGUGGCAUUGUCUUUUUUCAAACUUGAUAGCUUCAAGAAAAAGUAACCCUUAACUAUGGAAGAUGCAUAGUUCGAAUUACAUUAUGUUUGUUAAGUGUCGAUGGCUAUAGAAAAAUUUUAUCUUUGCCAACUGGAAAACUGGAAAUAGUCCUCAAGAAACUUUGAAGGGGACAUUUUGUUUGACAUUAAAACGUCUCAAGAAAUCCAUAUGGAACUCUCUCAGCGUUUUCCUAGAUAUAUGAAUAAUAAAUAAAUACAUACAUAAAUAAAUAUUACUAAAAGUUUAGUUUUUUAUGUUUUCUUCAUUAUCAAUUGGAGAAGCAUUUUGUUUACUUAAAACAUUACUGAUAAAAUAUUCGUGUAUAUUUCUGUUAUAUAUUAUAUGGAAGAAAUUGAAAAAUAAGCUAUGCAAUGAGACUUGGUAGGCACUACUAAUUCAAAGAUUUCAAUACGCGUUUAUUAUGUAAUCCGAUUGUUCUUUUUCAUGUUUAUUAUAAUUGGUUUUAGUGUCAUUGGUGCAUACAUAAAGAAGUUGUGUUGAAUUGUUUUUUACAUUUUUUGUAUAGUAUCAGAAGAGAAUGACUUGGUAUAACCUACUACUAAUUCAAAAUUUACAAGCCGACAUAACAAUUUAAAUAAUUUACUAACUAAUUAGUUGACUUUACUUUGCUUCUAUUCCGUUACGCCACUUUUUUUUUUCCAAAUUUUUUAAGUGAUCUGUAAACCGCUGAGACUUUACUUUCAGAAAUCCCUUUCUAUUCCUCCAUUUUCUAGUUCCACGUCUAAAUAUCCUAGUUUUGUUUAUCAAGUAUCAAUUUUAAUAAAAAUUAUAGAUUCAAAAAGUUAUAAAAAAUUAAUUAAUGUGAAGAAUAUAUCUAAUACUAUAUAGUAUAUACACUGAUACACACUAUGAAAGUACCAAAAAAAUAUCUUCAUUUAAAACUUUAAUCCGAUACAUCUCUGUGUUUUUGAAACAGGAAAGACAUAAUCCUUAGAAAACAGAUAUAAUGCAUUUAGUUAUGCGUUUGGACAAAAACAUGUGAUUUUUGAAAAAAAAAAUAGUUUUUGGAGUUAAGUUAAGAAAAUGUAUUUAGAAUUUAAAAUUAUUUUGGAUAUAUUUCACUUGAAAAAAUAUUACAAUGUGAGGAGAAACCAAAUUUUACAUGAGAAAUGGUAAAACUCACUUUUUCAAAUUUGAAACUCAUCUUCAAAAAUUCAGUUAAACAUUUAACCAAACAUGAUUUGAAAAUAUUUUUCGAAAAAAGGAUAAAUAUUAUAUCCAAAUGGCUCCUUAAUUAUUCCUUGAUGCCCUUGUAAAACUAUAACUACAGAAAAGCGGUAUGUACAAAAUUAUAUCCGUAUGCUCCUUAAUUUUAAUUAUUUCUUGACGUCCUUGCGGUAAAAUUACGAAAUCUUUAAAUAAUGAAGUUGAUGUGAUGCCUUUUGUUAGCCUUCAAAUCAGAUUGAUUUAUUUGAGUUGUAAUUUGGGAGAAGUUGACUCAAUCCUCACCCUUUGAUUUAGAUUUUCACCCUUUAAUUUUUAUGCAUACGUAUUUUUUAUAUGCAUAUGUAUUUUUUUUACAUUGUAUAGUUUGAGUAGAAAGUAAUAAGUUCAGUUAAAUCUACAAAAAAACGCUUCUAUUUUUACCCAAUUCAAUUAUUUUAUUAAAUCAAUUUCAUCAAUCCGAUUCAUAUAAAAACUAAUUUUUAAAUCUUAUUAAAUUAAAUAGGGUGCAUCUUCCAGGAAAUGGAUUCCCCAAAUGUUCUAUGCCUUUGUGAUCCACUACUACACCACUUUUGGAAGACUUGUUAUGGUUUUUCGUUUCUUAUAUUUUUCAAUGUAGUCUUAAUUUUUGAACUGCAUGUGAUUUCUCAAUUAUGCUAUCAACUGCAUGUGGAGGCAAUUGAUUUUUUUUUAUUUUUUUUGAGUGUCGAACAGCAAAGAAACACGUAAUACGUAACAAGAUAAAAAGAGGAAAUGAAAAGGGUUUUUCUACCUUUUUCUUGUUCGUUUUCUAUAAUAACUACUGUACUAGUUUCUUAAAAUCCAAAAAAAGUCCCCACACAUUGUGAGAAUUAUUCAUAGAAUGCUUACAAGCAAUCCUUCAAUACGGGAAGAUGGAGUUUCUUAUUUUGUUUUGAUAAUAUUUUCUAUUUUUUGAAAGGAUAAUAAUUGUAAAAAAAAAAAUAUUCUAAUACAUUGUUUAUGAAAAACGUAACUUUAAAUUCAAAAAUUUUCUCGUGCAUUGAUAACGAGUAAUGAAUAAGAAAGUUUAAAAAAUUCAUUGGAAUAAGAAAGUUUUAAAAAAAAAAUCAUGCGUUAAUGAUAGGGCCAUGAGCUCUGAAGACACACGUUAAGCAGGGAGAGCUAACGUACGCACAAAGACGAUGGCCCGACAGAAAUCACAGAUAAUUGUGCCGCCUACAAUACCGGAGACGGACGAAGGAGGUAGAAUGGUAACACCAGAAUCAGGAAUACCACAAAUGAUAGGUCAGAUGCAACUGGUCCACUGGAUGACUGGGAUGGAAAGCGCACCAACAAUCAUGCAAGCUUCGAAAUGUGUUGAAGAAGAGAAUCCCAAACCAGCAGAGGUAGAUGUCAAUACUGCAGCGAGGAAGCUGACUUUCUUAGUGCAACGAGCAAACCCUAGUCGACCAGAACCGAUUCUAGCUGAUGUGGUUAAAGGAAAUCGAGCUCAACAACAGGGGCUGAAAUUGGAAUACUAUCCACCAACAAUGAAGGAAGGAGUAAAGAUUGUGCGAUUGAAUCAGACUCAAGUAGUAGAGCAAACUCAGAAAUGGAAAGAAGCGCUAAUUGGGUAUGCGUUGGGUGGAACUUCCUCUUUCAAAGAAAUGCUAAAAUUUGUGUAUGGGGUGUGAAAUUUUAUCACUGCACCACAUGUAUUCCUACAUGAUGAUGGGUACUUUAUAUUCAGAUUUAGAUCUGAAGAUGAUAAGAUAAAAACUUAUACAAUAAGGCCCAUAUACAUACCAUAAUAGACCCAUGAUACUGAAGCACUAGGAGCCUAAUUUCCAGAUGAGUAAAGAGUUGACUCAAAAUGUACCAAUAUGGGUCAUAUUCCCGGGAUUACCAAUUUAAUACUGGAUAAAGGAGAGUUUGGGGCGCAUAGCCAGCUACUUAGGAAAACCUAUAUGUUCAGAUAAACUCACAGCAGAGGGGGAUAAGAUUUCCUAUGCGCGUAUGCUGGUGGAAAUGGAUGUAUCACAGGAUCUACCAGAUACAAUGCUCAUUGAAGAAAAAGAUGGCAAGUAUAGAGAACAAGCACUGGACUAUGAAUGAAAACCUUCUUUCUGUGAGGAGUAUUUUCAAAUAGGGCACCAUAAUGAGAAAUGUGGGAAGGCUUUACCAAUGAGGUAGCAAAAGCAAACCAAUGCCAGCAAUGGCAACCUGGAGAAAACUGGUAAACAACAACAGAGGCAAUGGAAAGAGGUUAAGCAACAGAACAUAAAACAAUGGAGGGUGAAACCUGUUGUUGAGCAACCAUAAGUGCAGAAAAGCAGAUUCCUGAACAACUACAAGAACAACAGGUCAGUCAAGUUAAUGCAGAGCCAACUACUGAGCAAGAGAUGGAAAUACAACAAGUUCAGAAAUCUAGAGGCAGGCAAAAGAUAAAAGCUCAAGGACCUACAUAACAUAAGGGAGCCUUAACUGAUACUGAUUUAGAUAAUAUGCUGAAGAGAAAUAGAUAUAGUCCAUUGAGAAUACAAGAUGAUAGCAGCACUGGAAAGGUAACUUAAGGGAUUGGCCUCAAUGAGGAGAAUCCGACAUGAUAAUAAGCUCUUGGAAUAUAAAAGGAAUGAACAAGCCCUAUAAUCAUAAAGAACUCAAGGCCUUUCUGCUAAAACAUAAAAUAACUUUACUAGGCUGCCUUGAGACAAAAAUAAAGUCUAGAAGUAUUAGUAAAGUUAAAAGAAAAUUUUGCAAAAAUUGGAAAGUGCAUUCAGAUGAAGCUAUAAGUAACAAUGGGAGAAUCUGGAUCUUUUGGAAGGCAAAUUUGGUGCAGGUACAUAUACUGUUAGCAACUCUUCAAUUGCUACACUGCCAAGUGAAGGAUAAGGGAUCAACAUUCUCAUGUUGCAUAACAUUUGUAUAUGGAAAGAAUAAAAUUGUUACACCAUGUACGUCCGAAGUUGACGUAUAAUGAAUAUGAGACUUGUUAAUAAUGAUUUAAAUGAGUUUAAAGUCAUAAUAUGACUAUAUAUGAUGGUUGGACAAAACACAUAAAGUUUGGAGAAAAUCGGAUUAAAGUUGCGGAAAAACCGACUAAGAAUUUACCAUAUAAUAGAGCUUUUUGAGAAAUAUAUUCCGUAUAAUAUAUGAGGUCUUUUGGGAUAUAUUAUAUACCAAAUUGAAGGUCUUGGAAUGUAGUUUUCAAAGCUCUUAACCGUUCAUUCAUACAAUAUCCGGAUAAAAAGAUAUAAGCGUUGGAAAAUGGGUGAAUGAGAGGGUGCCAAGCUAGCACCUUUUGACUUUUCAAAAGUUUGAUAAAUAUGUUUUAACUCGUCUCUCUCUCUCUUCAUUUUACAUAGAAUCUAACCAGAGACACCAUAAAAGAACGGUCCUUGAGCUCUCUAAUAGUUUCGAAUAAUAAUAAUAUCCCGGGUACGAAAUCGAGAAGUGAUAACAUUAGAACGAUCCCUACGACGUAAGUAUCACUAUAUCACCUCUUUUUUUAUUUGUAGUUUGAGUUUUGGAAUGUAUUUAAUAGUUAAUAAAAAUUUAUAAUUUCUGUAUUUAAGCUUUAAAAUAUCAAAAAAAGUUGAUAAAUUCGUUUCCUAAUAGUUAGAUCUCACGUGACGGUGAUCGAAAACCGUGAGUUUGAGUUAUUUGAUUUGUAGUAGACUGUUUUGUUGGCUGUUUUGUGUUGCUUUUGGGCUGUCUAUUGUGCUACUAAUUUAUGGAGUAUGGAAGGAUAAAAAUGGCGUGGAGAAAUGCCACAUAUGGUAGGGUAGUAGGCUGGUCGCUCGUCGUUGUAGUUGCAGGCUAAUUGAUAAUUUGUUGAUUGGUGUAUUAUGGUAUAUUUGGGGGUUUUGUUGUAUUGAAGGUCCCGGAUUGUAAUUAGGUUGGUUUUAAGUUGAUGAUUGUAAUGUGUUUGUAUCUCGCCUAUAGUAGGCUUGAGGGAGCAGUAAAAUCAGGGGAAAUGCUGCCCGUUUUAUUUUAGAAUCGAGUUAUCGUUUGAGAUACGUAAUAUACUACCGCCAUCUAAAUUAUACACGUAUUUAUUUGCUAUAUGAUUGGAUCUCUAGUUGUCAUAAGCUUGUUGUUGAGUUGCAUUGACGACUUGAGGUAUGUUAAGGCUAUUCCUUCUUUCUUUUUGGCAUGAUACAAACGAAACGAGCAAAAUACGCAACUUUCAAAAAUGACUCUAUUCAUAGAAAUACUAGGGGUGUCUAUAUUCUUGAUUUCCCAUGUGAAUUAUUAUUAUAUCCUCUGUUCAUAGGUCCCAGAAAAAUAUGUAUUUGAUAAAGUUUGUCCGAAAGGAAUAUAAAUUUUAUGAUAUUCGAGAAAUCUUAUUAACGUAUUUCAUAUGCAUUUCAUGCAUUUAUACAUGUAUAUGGACCCAUGACCAGAAGGCGUUAUAUACGCGUAUAUUAUAUGUAUAUGGAUAUGGAAAAAGGUUAAGGCGUUAUAUACGCACCACCACCUGAUCAGUUGGUAUAUGUUGAUGAUUUUGCCCACAGUGGCCGAGAUGAUACGAUGGGAUGCCCUCAGAAGCUUGAUGAUGUUAUGUACACCUAUACCUAUGCAUGAUACAACAUUUACACGCAUGUGCAUGAUAUUAUAAAUGUUUCAGGAUUCAUAAAGUUAUUUAGACUCACAGGUGGAAUUCUUUACCCCAUAUUUCAUCUAUGUCUUUUAUGUACUGAUUUUCAUGCUUUACAUACACAGUACAUUAUUCAUACCGACGUCCCUUUUUGCCUGGGGACACUGCGUUUCAUGCCCGCAGGUAUAGGUAGACAGGCUGACGGUCCCCCUUCUUAGGAUCCUUGAUCAGCGAGAGUUGGUGUGUUCUAUUUGAUCCGGAGCUGCUUUGAGUUUUGGUACGGUGUGUUUACAUAUAUAUAUGGGUACGACGGGGCCCAAUCUCUUCCUUUAUACAGUUGUACACUCUAUUAGAGGUCUGUAGAUAGUCAUGUAUAGUUUAUAGUAUGUGGCCUUGUCGGCUCACCCUACAGUAUAUAUAUGUAUGUAUGUAUAUAUGUCUUUUGAGCAUGUUUUCCCACGUAGGUUGUUCAUAUGAAUUAAUAGUUUAUUUCCAGACGUUAUGCAUGACCUACACUUAUUUCAUGUUUAUAUCUUAGACGAAUGCUUAUGGGUGUUCGAUAGGUAGAACUCGAGCACUCGUCACGGCCUAUCGGUUUGGGUCGUGACAAAAGUGGUAUCAAAGUAAUUCUGUCCUAGAGUUGUCUACAGACCGUGUCUAGUAGAGUCUUAUUUAUGGGUUUGUUGUGCACCACAAUUAUAGACAGAAGGCUACAAGAUAUUUAGGAUGGUUACUCUUCUUUCUUAUCUUAGAUCGUGCGAUAUAAUAAUUCAUUUUCCUAACGACAUGUUAUGUUUUUAGCAAUGCCCAAGAAGGCUACAGCCGCCUAGAAGGGCAAGUCCGUGGAUGAUGAAACUACAAGUAGAGCACCACGAGUUACCAGAUCUCGGGGAGAAUCGCAUAGUGAGACUCCAUCUCAGACUUCACAUACCCCUCCCUUUCCAGAGGAGAUCCGAGGGGCACCAGCUCCAGCACUUGCUCCAGUACACCCAGCUCCUCAUCCAGAUGCACCGGGUCAGGAGAUAAGAGAUGUUAUUCAGUUAUUGACUCGGUUAGUGGCCGCACAAGCUCGGCGUCAGGAGGUUGGUAUUGGUCAUGCAGAUAGGGCCAUUAGUGCGAGGGUUCAUGAUUUCAUUAAUUUGGACCCUCCGAUAUUCACUGGAGCAGAUCCAAAUGAGGACCCUCAGGUAUUUAUCGAUAGUAUGCAGAGGACUUUGAGAGUAAUGAAGGCCACUGCGACUAAGCCGGUUGAGCUAGCUUCCUAUAGACUUCGGGAUAUUGCAAUUAAUUGGUACGAGUCUUGGGAAUUGUCCAGAGGUGAGGAUGCCCUUCCAGCAGUAUGGCAGGAUUUUACAAAGGCUUUUCUUCAUCAUUAUUUGCCACCAGAGCUUAAACGGGCCAGAGUUGAUAGGUUCUUGACCCUUCGACAGGGUAAUAUGAGUGUUCGGGAGUACAACCUUCAGUUUGAUUCUUUGGCGAGGUAUGCUCCCAUUAUUGUAGCUAAGAUGGAGAAUCGGGUUCACCGGCUCGUGAUGGGGUUGGAGCCGCACCUGCUCAAUGACUGUAUGUCGGUCUCACUUCAUCCAGACAUUGAUAUUUCUCGUAUUCAGGCAUACGCUCAGGAUGUAGAGGAGUGUAAGCAGAAGCAGGGGGCCGAUCGUGAGCAUGAUAGGGGCUAUAGUAAGAGAGUGAGAUCUUCAGAUCCUUCUGGUGAGUUUCGAGGUGGUCAGAGAUGGCAGUAUCCGAGGUAUCCAGCUCAGCCAUUAUCUAGUGUACCCCCCAGUUUUCUGGUAGGAGAUUUGAUCGUUCCACAUAUUCAAGGCACAGUCAGAGUUCCAGGGCCUCUCGUUCUCAGUAUAGGGGUGGGUCAAGUCAGGUGAGGCCACCUUUGCCACGAUGUGCUCAGUGUGGUAAGCAUCAUGUCGGGUAGUGUCUCGUGGGGUUGGGUGUUUGUUAUACGUGUGGUUAUCCAAGACACGUUAUGAGAGAUUAUCCGACGAGAGGUGGUGCAGGUAUAAUUCAGUCAGCGGGAUCUAUAGCUGGUUCGUCAUCAUCAGUACGCCCCCCUCGGCAAGGAUCACAGGCACCGGUCGGUUGUGGUAGAGGCAGAAGUGGAGCAUCUAGCUUGAGCGGUCCUCAGAACUGCAUUUAUGCAUUAGCGGGUCGACAGGAUUAGGAGUCGUCACCUAAUGUUGUUGCAGGUAUAUUAUCAGUCUCUUCAUAUGAUGUAUAGGCAUUGAUUGAUCCAGGUUCCACCUUAUCGUAUGUCACUCUAUUGGUUGCUAGCAAGUUUGGGAUGGAACCUGAGUUGAUUAAACCUUUUGAGGUGUCUACACCUGUUGGGGAUCCAGUGAUAGCUAGACGGGUAUAUAGAGAUUGUAUAGUAGGAGUUCUUAGUUGUUCUACAGUAGCGGACCUGAUUGAGCUAGAUAUGGUAGAAUUUGAUGUUAUAAUGGGUAUGGAUUGGUUGGCUUCUUGUUAUGCUAACGUUGAUUGUAGAUCAAAGAUGGUUUGGUUCCAGUUUCCAGGGGAGCCAGUUCUAGAGUGGAAAGGUAAUACUGCAUUGCCGAGAGGUAGGUUUAUUUCCUACCUCAAGGCAAGGAAGAUGAUCAGAAAGGGUUAUAUUUAUCACUUAGUUCGGGUACAUGAUGUGAAAGCAGAGUCACCGACCCUUCAAUCUAUUCCAAUGGUUAAUGAGUUUCCCGAUGUUUUUCCUGAUGAGCUUCCAAGCCUUCCGCCAGAGUGGGAGAUUGAGUUUGCUAUUGACACAUUACCAGAUACUCAGCCGAUAUCCAUUCCUCCUUAUAGAAUGGCACCUGCAGAGCUGAGAGAGUUGAAAGAACAACUGAGGGAUUUGCUUGAAAAAGGCUUUAUCAGACACAGUACAUCACCAUGGGGAGCACCUGUGUUAUUUGUGAGAAAGAAAAGUGGUACCUUGCGGAUGUGUAUUGAUUACAAACAGUUGAAUAAGGCGACAAUCAAGAAUAAGUACCCACUCCCGAGGAUUGAUGAUUUAUUUGAUCAGUUGCAGGGUGCCAGGUGUUUCUCAAAGAUAGACUUGAGGUCGGGGUACCAUCAGGUAAGGGUUAGAGAAAAUUCCGAAGAGAGCAUUCAGGACCAGAUACAGACACUUUGGGUUUCGUGUUAUGUCAUUCGGUUUGACUAAUGCCCCAGCGGUAUUCAUGGACUUGAUGAACCGUGUGUUCAGACCUUUUCUAGAUCUGUUCGUGAUUGUAUUUAUAGAUGAUAUUUUGGUUUAUUCUCAUUCAGAGGUUGAGCAUGCAGAUCAUUUGCGUACUGUGCUCAGAGAUCUACAAGAAAGGAAGUUGUAUGUAAAAUUCUCUAAAUGUGAAUUCUGGUUGAAUUCUGUAGCCUUCCUUGGUUAUAUUAUUUCGGGUCAGGGUAUCCGGGUCGAUACACAGAAGAUCGAGGCAGUGAAGACUUGGCCUAGACCCACGACACCGACAUAGGUUCGUAGCUUCCUGGGUUUGGCAGGUUAUUACAGGAGAUUUGUAGAGGGGUUUUCUUUCCUUUCAGCACCAUUGACAAAGUUGACUCAGAAGGCAACCAAGUUUCAGUGGACUGAUGCUUGUGAGCGGAGUUUCCAAGCAUUGAAGGACAGAUUGACUUCAGCACCGGUUCUGACACUUCCAGAAGGGACCGAUGGUUAUGCUAUCUAUUGUGAAGCUUCGGGCAUUGAAUUGGGUUGUGUAUUGAUGCAGCAUGGUAAGGUUAUCACUUAUGCUUCUAGACAACUAAGAAACCACGAGAAAAAUUACCCCACCCACGAUUUAGAGUUAGCCGUGGUGAUUCAUGCACUAAAGAUGUGGAGGAACUAUUUGCAUGGCAUUCAUGUAGAUAUCUAUACGGACCAUAAGAGCCUUCAGUAUAUAUUCAAGCAAAAGGAAUUGAAUUUACGUCAGAGGCGAUGGUUGGAGAUACUAAAAGACUAUGAUGUUGAUAUUUUAUACCAUCCAGGAAAGGCGAAUGUAGUAGCGACGCCCUCAACCGUAGAUCUAUGGGGAGCUUAUUAUAUUUACAGCCAGAGAAGAGUGAGAUAUCUUAUGAGAUUCAUCAGCUAGCUAAUCUUGGAGUUCGAUUAUUAGAUUCAGGUGGUACCGGAGUUACUAUUCAGGACACGGCAAUAUCCUCUCUAGUAACUGAAGUGAAGGAACGCUAGUAUGAAGAUCCUAUGCUAGCUCACUACAGAGAUACAACCCCUCAAAAGGAGAAGACACCAUUGGAGAUUACAGGAGAUGGAGUCCUCAAAUAUCGAGGUCGAUUAUGUGUUCCUAAUGUAGCAGGGUUGCGCCAGCAGGUUAUGGGAGAAGCUCACUAUUCUCGUUAUUCCAUUCAUCCAGAAGCGACGAAGAUGUAUCAUGAUAUCAGGGUAAUAUACUGGUGGGACGGAAUGAAGAAGGAUAUAGCAGAGUUUAUUGCUCAGUGCCUAAAUUGUCAGCAGGUUAAGAUUGAGUAUCAGAAACCCGAUGGAUUAUUGCAGGCUAUAGAGAUUCCGACUUGGAAAUGGGAAGUGAUUAACAUAGAUUUCAUCAUAGGCUUACCUCGUACCCAGUGUAAGUUCGAUUCUAUAUGGGUUAUUAUUGAUAGACUUACAAAAUCAGCCUGUUUUCUGCCUGUCAGGNNNNNNNNNNNNNNNNNNNNNNNNNUAGAUGGUCAGGAUGAGCGUACUAUUCAGACACUGGAGGAUAUGCUACGGGCUUGUGUGAUGGACUUCAGGAGUAACUGGGAUGAUCAUCUUUCACUUAUUGAGUUCGCAUAUAAUAAUAGUUAUCAUUCCAGCAUUCAGAUGGCUCCAUACGAAGCUCUUUAAGGAUGAAAGUGUAGGUCACCUAUCGGAUGGUUCGAGGUUGGGGAAACUAAGUUAGUAGGACCAGAGUUGGUACAACAGGCAGUUGAGAAGAUUAAGCUUAUACGGGAAAGGCUAUUAGCAGCUCAGAGUCGUCAGAAGUCAUAUGCAGAUAAUCGACGACGAGACUUGGAGUUUCAGGUAGAUGACUGGGUAUUCCUAAAGGUAUCACCAAUGAUAGGCGUUAUGAGAUUCGGUAAGAAAGGAAAGCUUAUGCCUCGGUACAUUGGACCUUAUAAGAUCAUACGCAGAGUAGGCCAGGUAGCAUAUGAGUUAGACUUGCCUUCCAACUUGGAGUCAGUACAUCCAGUUUUUCACGUGUCUAUGCUCCGCAAGUGUAUUGGAUAUAUUUCUAGAGUUAUUCCAAUUGACGAUAUUUAGGUCACAGAACAUCUAUCAUAUGAGGAAGCUCCCAUUGCUAUAAUAGAUAGACAAGUUCGGAGAUUGAGAACUAAAUACGUAUCUUCGGUUAAAGUACUUUGGAGGAACAAUAAUGUGGAGGAGAUGACUUGGGAAGCUGAAGAAGACAUGAAAUCUAGGUAUCCUCACUUGUUUCCUCUUCCGAAGGAGGAUCGGACUGAGACAUCACAGCCUUAGGUACGUAUAUGGUACUUGAUUUUUAUGUUAGUUAUUGUCAUUGGUUGUGUAAGACCAUUGGUAUUAUUGAUAAUUAUGGACCUGUGUGGCUUUGUAUUGUUGGGUUUUCUGUCUUACAGGUUGGUAGUGAUACCAUUACAGAGGAGACUCUGCCAAAAUUUCUAUAAAUCUCUAGGAGUUUAACAUUCGAGGACGAAUGUUUCUAAGGGGGGGAAGAUUGUUACACCUUGUACGUUCGAAGGUGACGUAUAAUGAAUAUGAGACUUGUUAAUCAUGAUUUAAAUGAGUUUAAAGUCAUAAUAUGACUAUAUAUGAUGGUUGGACAAAACACAUAAAGUUUGGGGAAAAUCGGAUUAAAGUUACGGAAAAACCGACUAAGAAUUUGCCCUAUAACAGAGCUUUUUGAGAAAUUAAUUUCGUAUGCUAUAUGAGGUCUUUUUGGGACAUAUUAUAUACUAAAUUGAAGGUCUUGGAAUUUAGUUUUCAACUCUCUUAAUCGUUCAUCCAUUCGAUAUCCGGAUAAAAAGAUAUAAGUGUUGGAAAAUGGGCGAAUCAGAGGGUGCCAAGCUAGCACCUUUUGACUUUUCAAAAGUUUGAUAAAUAUAUUUUAACUCGUCUCUCUCUCUUCAUUUUACAUAGAAUCUGACCAGAGACACCAUAAAAGAACGGUCCUUGAUCUCUCUAAUAGCUUCAAAUAAUACUAACAUCCCGGGUAUGAAAUCAAGAAGCGAUAACAUCAGAACGAUCCCUACGACGUAAGUAUCACUAUAUCACCUCUCUUUUUCUUUGUAGUUUGAGUUUUGGAAUGUAUUUAAUAGUUAAUAAAAAUUUAUAAUUUCUGUAUUUAGGCUUUAAAAUAUCAAGAAAAGUUGAUAAAUUUGUUUCCUAAUAGUUAGACCUCACGGGACGGUGAUCGGAAGCCGUGAGUUCGAGUUAUUUGAUUUGUAGUGGACUAUUUUAUGGGCUGUUUUGUGUUGAUUUUGGGCUGUCUAUUGUGUUGCUGAUUUAUGGAGUUGGGAAGGAUAAAAAUGGCAUGGAUAAAAAGCCACAUGUGGUAGGGUUGUAGGCUGGUCGCUCGUCGUUGUAGUUGCAGGCUAAUUGAUAAUUUGUUGAUUGAGUGUAUUAUGGUAUAUUUGGGGGUUUUGUUGUAUUAAAGGUCCCGGAUUGUAAUUAGGUUGGUUUUAAGUUGCUGAUUGUAUUAUGUUUAUAUCUCGCCUAUAGUAGGCUUGAGGGAGCAGUAAAAUCAGGGGAAAUGCUGUCCAUUUUAUUUUAGAAUCGAGUUAUCAUUUGAGAUACGUAAUAUACUACCGCCAUCUAAAUUGUACACGUAUUUCUUUGCUAUAGGGUUGGUGCUCUAGUUGUCAUAAGUUUGUUGUUGAGUUGCAUUGACGACUUGAGGUAUGUUAAGGCUAUUCCUUCUUUCUUUUUGGCAUGAUCCAAAUGAUACAAAUAAAACGAGCAAAAUACGCAACUUUCAUAAAUGACUCUAUUCAUAGAAAUACUAAGGGUGUCUAUAUUCUUGAUUCCCCAUAUGAAUUAUUAUUAUAUCCUUUGUUCAUGGGUCCCAGAAAAAUAUGUAUUUGAUAAAGUUUGUCCGAAAGGAAUAUAAAUUUUAUGAUAUUCGAGAAAUCUUAUUAACAUAUUUCUUAUGCAUUUCAUGCAUUUAUACAUGUACAUUGACCCAUGACCAGAAGGCGUUAUAUACGCGUAUAUUAUAUGCAUAUGGGAUAUGGGAAAAGGUUAAGGCGUUAUAUACGCACCACCACCUGAUCAGCUGGUAUAUGUUGAUGAUUUUGCCCGCAGUGGCCGAGAUGAUAUGAUGGGAUGCCCUCAGAGGCUUGAUGAUGUUAUGUACACCUAUACCUAUGCAUGAUACGACAUUUACACGCACGUGCAUGNNNNNNNNNNNNNNNNNNNNNNNNNGAGUUUUGGUACGGUGUGUUUACAUAUAUAUAUGGGUAUGACAGGGCCCAGUCUCUUCCUUUAUACAGUUGUACACUCUAUUAGAGGUUUGUAGACAGUCAUGUAUAGUUUAUAGUAUGUGGCCUUGUCGGCUCGCCCUACAGUAUGUAUAUAUGUCUUUUGGGCAUGUUUUUCCACGUAGGUUGUUCAUAUGAAUUAAUAGUUUAUUUCCAAACGUUAUGCAUGACCUACACUUAUUUCAUGUUUAUAUCUUAGACAAAUGCUUAUGGGUGUUCGAUAGGUAGAACUCAGUCACCCGUCACGGCCUAUCGGUUUGGGUCGUGACAAAAAUAAAUGAAAGAAGGGACCUAUGGGAGCAGCUAGGACAAAUACAUAUUGAUAUGCAUGAGGCUUGGCUAGUUAUAGGUAAUUUCAAUAAUGUUUUGUUUGUUAAUGAUCGGCUCAAUGGACAACCUGUGUAAUAAGCUGAAGUUGCGGAUUUUCAAGAAUGCAUAAGGGAUAUUGGACUGGGGCAAUUAAAUAGGAAAGGGCGCCAAUGGUCAUGGGGUAAUAAAAGGGAUGCGGAGAGUAGAAUAUACAACAAUAUUGACUGGUCAUUUGGGAAUGCUUCUUGGCUUACUCAUUACAGUAGCCUAGAAGCAGUUUUUGAAUUGCCAGGAGUUUCUGACCAUUCCCCUAUUAUUAUUAACACUGAUGUAGCCAAAAAUCACCUGCCAAAGCCAUUUAGACUAUAUAAUGUGCUGCUGAAUCCUAAGGAGUUUGAAGAAGUUGUUCAUGAGGUGUGGAAUCAACAAGUACAUAGACAUACUAUGCACUCAAUUUGGCUGAAGUUACAGAGGUUGAAAGAUAAGACAAAACACAUGAAUAAGGAGAUGUCUUCACAGGACAAAAAGAUUGGCCAACUUAGGGAGCAACUGCAGAAUACUCAAGGAACGCUUGAUGAAGAUCCAUUCAACAUUCAGCUAAUAGCCAAGAAAAAGGAGUUGCUACUGCAGAUUGAAAAAUGGGAAGGGGUAAAUGAACAGGUUCUGAGACAAAGAUCUAGAGCAAUGUGGAUAAAGGCAGGUAACCAGAACUCUAAAUUUUUUCAUGCUCAUUUGAAGGCCAGACAAUUGAGGAACAGAAUUGAAUCCAUAUCUAAUGACCAAGGAAUUAGAGUGAUUGAUCCUAUAUUGAUAGAACAAGAGUUUAGAGGGUUUUUUCAAACACUUUUCAAACACUCUUAGGCACUUCAGCUACUGAACUCCCUUGUAUUGAUAUUGAGAAAGCUAGAAAUGGUCAUUGUCUUACCAAGGAACAACAACUUCUCAAUGCACAAGUAACAGAGGAGGACAUUGAUCAAGCUCUUAAAGACUUGCCAAAUGACAAAGCUCCAGGGAUAGAUGGAUUUCCAGCUAAAUUGUUUAAAACAUACUAGAAGGUUAUUGGAGGAGAGGUUAAACGAGCUAUUCAAGAGUUUUUCACCAAUGGGAAACUACUGAAAAGUGUCAACUACACCAGACUAACAUUGGUACCUAAAGUUCCAAGCCCAACAUUUGUCAAGGAAUACAGACUUAUAGCAUGCUGCUCCACUUUGUACAAACUCAUCUCAAAGAUCAUUACAGUAAAAUUGAAGAUGGUGAUGGAUUCUAUUGUGGGACCUGCUCAAUCAGCAUUCAUUGAAGGAAGGAACAUAUUGAAUAAUAUCAUUAUUGCACAUGAACUGGUCAAAGGAUAUACUCAGAAAGGGGUUUUACCAAGAUGUUGCAUAAAAGUAGACAUAAGGAAAGCUUAUGACUUAGUCAAGUGGCUUUUUUUAAGGAUAAUACUGAUUGAAUUUGGAAUACCUGUGAAGUUUGAUCAGUUGAUAAUGGAGUGUAUGACCAUUGUCAGUUACUCCUUGCUAUUGAAUGGGGGACUAACAGCUAAAUUCCAAGCAAAGAAAGGGCUAAGACAAGGAGACCCAAUAUCUCCUUACCUAUUUGUAUUGGUGAUGGAGUAUCUAAAUAGGUCGUUGAAGAAGUUGAAGCAUAAUCCAGACUUUAACUACCAUCCAAGAUACUCCAGAAAUAACAUAACACAUAUAUGCUUUGCUGAUGAUUUAAUUUUAUAUUGUAGAGAAGACAAAAUUUCUAUAAGCUUGUUACUGGAAAGAUUCACUCACUUCUCUGAGGUCUCAGGUCUCAAGGCCAACAUGGAGAAGAGUGCACUGUAUAUUGCUAAGGUUCCUAGGGAGUUCAAAGAAAUGAUUCUAGAAGAAAUAUAAUUCACACUUGGAGAGCUACCAUUCAAGUAUCUAGGAGUGCCAUUGUCUUCCAAAAAAUUAUCUAUACAGCAAUGGAUGCCAUUGGUUGAAAAGAUCACUGCCAGAAUUAAUUGUUGGAUAGCCAAAUUCCUAUCAUACAGUGGAAGACUUAAACUAUUCAAGAGUGUGGUAUUUGAAAUGCAAACAUACUGGGCACAGGUGUUCCUAUUGCCAAAGAAGAUCAUCAAAUUAGUUGUCACAAUUUGUAGAAUUUUCCUAUGGACAGGAAGGAGUGAACCAUCUAGAAGAGCCUUGAUAGCUUGGGAUACAAUUUGUAUGCCAAUGUCAGCAUGUGGGCUUAAUGUUUUGGAUAUUUACACCUGGAAUAAGGCUGCCCUAUGCAAGCUGUUGUGGGCUAUCACUACAAAGAAAGAUACCCUAUGGAUCCAUAGCUUCUAUAUAAAAGACAGAAGUGUUGGGACUAUGAGUACUCCUAAACUGGCUUGUUGGCUUGUUAGGAAGAUAUUUGAUGUUAGGGACUAGUUUAGUGAAAAGAACCCUACUGAUGAUUUGAACAGCUACUGCAAGCAAGGAAAAUUCAGCAUUAAAAAGCUCUACAUUGCAAAGCUCUACAUCAGUUCAUUCUUUGGCUGGCAUUACAUAGAAGAUGAGCCACAGUUGAUCGACUACAGAAAUGGUGAAUAUCAGUAACAAGCGACUGUGUACUGUGUGAAAAGAAUAUUGAGGAGACAAGGGAACACCUGAUGUUUGAAUGUGAUUACUCCAGAAUCAUAUGGGCUACAUUACUGCAGUGGAUAGGAGAAAGACAUCAAAUAGGAAGUUGGGAUGAGGAGAUAGAAUGGAUAACAAAAAAGGCUACCAGCAAAGUCAGGGGUGAUAUGUUAGUAUUUCUAUUUGCAGCAAUGGUCUACCACACAUGGGCUUAGAGAAACCACAGAAGAUUUCAAGGAAAAAAGACAACCUGCAACAAGAGGAUAAAAGAAAUUGUAUUGGAUUUACACAUCCGAGGGCAGACAAAAGUCAAAUGGCAAAAAGAAUUAGAAAGGCUACACAGUUUCCCUAGCUAGUUUAAGUUGAAAGGUAGACAACAAAAGCUAGGUACUCUUAGUAGCAGAAAAAUAUUUGGUCAAAUCUAUUUUUUUAUCAGUUUUGUAUAGAUAUUGGAUAGGGUCUAGCUCUAGAAUCCAAUUGAGUUAGCGGAUAUAAAUAUUAUCCUUGGUUAAAUAAAAUUUGAUAGUUUAACUAAAAAAAAGAAAGUUUAAAAAAACAAUAUAUUAUUUACAUUUAAGUAGAACAAAAGUACUAAAUAUCGACGAGGGAGAGAAAAGAUUGGAUCUAUAUAUGCAUUCUAGGUGCCACUUUUGUUGCAACGUUGUCCGUUUGGACAAUAUUUACGAGGAAGAGAUACUAAGAUUGGAUCUAUACAUCCAAGGUGCCACUUCCUUUGCAACGCUACAUUUGACACACCCCUUAAGAAAAUACUAAUUUCUAAAAGAAAAAAGGUAUUUUGACUAAAUUAUUCUAAAUUAAAAUUUGCAUAUUAUUAACUUGACACAUUGGAAUAUGCAAAUAAGGGUAAAUUUGGAAAAAUAAUGUUAAUUCCUUCUUGAUUAUGUAAAAACACUUAUUUGGACUAAAAUAAAAAGUCCAAAAAAGUCACUUAUUAUGGACAUAUGCGAGUAAUUAAAGUUCCUCCAAGCCAGCAAAAUGCAUAUUCAAGCUUCAUUUAAUUUAUAUAUAAACUUCUUUUGACAUAAUAAUAAUAAUAAUAAUAAUAAUAAUAAUAAUAAUAAUAAUAAUAAUAAUAAUAAUAAUAAUAAUAAUAAUAAUAAUAAUAAUACCAUAAGCUUUAUUAUAGCAUAUAUAAUGUUAUACAAAUAGUAACUAAUAGUAUUUCCCUUCAUGUCCCUACAUUUACUAGAGAGCAAUCCACAUUUUCAUCCUUUGUCUCAGCAUUUGUUUUAAAAUAAAAUGUUCAAAUUUAAAGCGUAAUAAUGUACAGGAUGUUGAUGGUUAUUUCCCUUCAAUAUGAUGAAAUAUAUUGAUAAUUUGGAGAAGAUGCUAGCAUACUUCUUCACCACUCAUUGCCCAACUUCUAUAAUUUUCAUUUGAAAAUUGAGAAAAUAAAGUUUAUUUCAAGUACGUUAGGUGAUCACAUGUAGGAUCAUGGUUUAUCGUUUAAAUUAUUAAUAAUAUUCACCUUCCUAUAAUGUAUGUCUCACUAUGUGUUGUUCGUCAACUCUCUUGUAUGAUUACCAAAAAAAAUUAAACAAACACGAUCUACAUGUUUGGAUUGUAUAUACAUAUUUUGUUUUUGCUUGUCGUGGCGACUUUUUCUAUGAUUUCAAAAUAAGACAAUGAAUGGAUCUGAAUCUUACUCUUUUAAAUCAAAACAGAAAGAAAUACUUUAAAAAAUCACCGAGUACUAUAUAGCGUGUAUAAGCUUUUGUCUUAACAUUUUGAACCAUUUAUUUCAUGUAAAUAAUAUCCUAGUUCCAUUGUCUAAAAUAAUUUCAACUUCCUAAAAGAUAUCAGAAGACGGUUAUCUUAAUUGAAGAAAUAAAAUAGUAAAUACUAAGAAAAUUAUACAACGACAUCGAAAAUCUGCAUCUUCAAAAAUAAUUUAUUUAAUAUAUUUGGUCAACGUAAAUUAGGUAAUUGUGUACGUAUAUUAUAUUCCAACUGGUUUUGAAAGAAUAAUGAACGUUAUAUUUUUUAAAGCAACCUAUAUUUCAGUAUUAUUCAUCAACUAAUGUUAACCUACUAAUUGAUAUCUUCAUUAAGAAAAAAUUUCUAUAGAAUUCUCGGUAUAUUAAUUUUGUUCUUCCCCUUCCAUCAUGACCCCAUUUUUUUUGUCACAUAGUGCAUGCUUUAUAAAAAUAACAAAUAACAAUAAAUUUAGUAUAAUCUUAUAAGUGGAGUCUGGGAUGGGUAAUGUGUACGUAGACCUUACCACUACCUUGAGAAGAUAGAAAAUUUAUUUUCGAUAGACAUUCGGCUCAUGAUCCUCGGCUCAACAUAGUGCAUGUUUUGAUUUAAAAAUAAAAAGAGAAAGGAAAAAAGAUGAUAGAAAAGAAACAAUAAUUUUCACUGAAAAUUCAGCGCACCUAAUCCAUGUGGAAAAUCUUUCUGCAGGUUACUCUAUUUUUCUCUUCCAAUUAUAGAUUUGAAAAUGAUAGUAAAUAUAAAAUCACAUGGUGUUCUAUAUUUUCCUCCCUUGCUAUGUAACAACUCAUGAUACCACGACUAGGCUAAAAAUAGGACUUCUAAAGCUCAUUUUGUCUCAAAAGUGGUCUUUAAUGUCUUUAAAUUAUUUAAGAAUCUUAGUUAAUAGAGGUGUCUCUUAACACGGCAUUGACUAGCCUUAGGGGGGUUGGGUCAUUUUCAAUGCCAGUAAUGAAAGACCGAAAGAAUAAUUUGUAUCUGUUUUGGUUUUACCUCAUUCACUUUUUUUACAUUAGAUCUAGAUAAGCGUAAGAAAACAAAACAAGACAUGGUAAAGUAUUGUAUUUUCCUUUAAUUUGUAAUUUGUAAUUGGUAGCUAGCUAGAAUCCAAUGCUAGCUUAAAGUAUGUUUUUGGAUGUGAUUAUUACUUAUGUAAGCUUAAAGUUUAAGAGUAAAAAUUAUAAAGCCUUUCAACCUAUUGAUGCUAAGCUUAGUACUAGCAAAUGUAGAGAAUCCGUUCGGAUAUGAGCGAGUUAAAAAAGAUUAGACCAUUUUCUUGUGUGCAGUAUUUGACGAGUACCAAUGAAUUUGACUAUAUUAUCCAUUUUUUAUCCAUCAAGCAUCCAUUGUUUUCCAUAAGCCUCCACGGAUAUAAUGUACAAUAAGCUGAUCAUUUAACACCAAAUUGCCAAAAAAAAUAAAAAAGGAGAGAGUAAUAAUAAAAGAGAUAAAUGGAAGUCCAAAAGCCAUCAUCUUAAAGUUUUCACCUAACGCUCUCCCUAUCGCAUUAAUUAUUAUUAAUUAUUAAUUAAUUAUUAUUUUAAAGUUAAUAAAGCAGUCCUCCAUGUUUUCUUUUUCUUGAUUUUACCUUGAUUGGACAUUUGAGUUAUAAAUGGUCUGAGACACGUAAAAAGGGACGAUAUUAUAUGAUUGACUAAUAAAUUAAUUGUUGAAAAUUGACAUGUAUGUUUCACCAACCUAAAAAUGUAUAGGAUAUUAUCAAAUGACCUACAAAACAGCAUAUAUAGCUUUGCUAUGACUAGCUAGAGGUAUAUCGGGACUCUAACUAAGCUUAUGGUGAUCAAUCAAAUGAAUGUAUCCCAUAUAUUCUAGGGAGGGCAAAGUUCAUGUAUUUAGGAUCCGUCUUGUCUAACCCAAAAAUGAUUCUCAAGGUCAAAGUAAUAAAUUUUAUAUGACGGGCCACAAGCAAUCGAUUCGAUCCGAAAGAUAUAAAUUUUCGUUUAUACAAUGUGAUAGAGAAGUAAAAAAUAAAUGCAGAUAAUAAAAAAUAAAGCAGAGAAGAAAAACUUCUUAUUGAAUGAUCCUUGAUAGGAUGAUGAGUCGAACAGAGCUUGAAGGGCCGAACUAUGGCUAACUUGGGAGCAAGAUGUUAUGAAUUACAAUGUAUAGAAUUGUAGAGAGAAAAAUUAGAUGAUUACAAUGGUGGUAAAAUGUAUUUAUUUAUAGGGCUAAAUUUAAGUAACCAUUCUCCUUGAAUUAUGGGUCCAUUAUGAGCAUUUACUCAAUUUAUCCGUCACUUUUGGAAGACUUGUAACAACUAUUUAAAUGCUGGAAUUCCGCAACUGAUGAGUUAAUUCCAUAACUGAUGAGUCAAUCUCGUACCUGUUGAGUCAAUCCCGUGCUUGUUGAGUCAACCUCGUGCAUGUUGAGUCAAUUUCAUAAUUGAUUGCCUUGUUCUGCCCGUUACAAUCAUUUAUUGUAUUUAUUGUAUAUUGCAUAAUUGAUUGUAACUGAUGCCGUAAUGAUGGUAAAUCCCAUAUAAUCCGGAAUUAAUUGAUUCCUUCCUCAUUUGUAAUUAUGAGCUAUUCUCCCGUACCUGAUCUGGGCUUAUAUGAUGAUCAGUUCCAAGGCUAACAGGCACAGUACAAGUAUGUUUGGUCCUGAGGGUGUUUCACAUAUCAUCUUUACAUGUCAUUCUUCACUUUUCUUCAAACUUUGCUCACACAUGUCGCCAUUUAAUAAACCCACGUGGCGAGUCUAUUUUUCACUAAUAUAGAUAGUCCCCCCACUUUUCGGUUACUCACUGUGAUGUGACCGGGAAGUGGAAGAUUUUAUCUUUUCCACCCUUGCCUCUGCCUCAUUAAAAAUCUUGCCGGAAAAAUCCAAUAAGGACAAAAUCCAGGCGACGAAAAAAAGAGUGUAGAACUUAGAGAUUUAGAUGACAACUCCACCGCUUAUGUUCCUUUCGUCAAUAAUCGGUUGGUGAUGAAAAAGUACUACUACCACAGAAAGCUUGAUCUUGGAUUUUUAGUGUUCAUCCGGAAUUUUUAAUCUUUGAGUUUUGACUCCUAGGUUUUUAGUUUUACCCAAAAAUUUUAUAACCUCACAUCCUUAGACACCGAGUAUGUUAAUAACCGGGAAUUUUUUACUUCUAAUUUUGAUAAAGUCCAGAAAUUUAAUACAUCUGAUUAACUUUACGAUCGGAAAACAAAGCAUCCGACCAUUAGCCAUUUGAUUGGAUGAUUUUAGAAGACGAGUACUAUGGGUACUAAUCUGGAGAGUGUCUUUCCACGUCUUCCAAAGAAAAGAUUUGACAAGGGGAGAAAAGAGCUUUCUGAGGAUAGUGAGAGUAAUCCCCGAACUAAUUCCCCACCUACUCAGUUUCGUCUCCAAGCUAGAUGAUAUUUCUAUUAUCGUGGCGAAUGGUAGAGAGAGUUCUCUGAUUUGAGAAAGAUAUAAGUACUGCAAAUUUAAGUACUGUAAUCAUGUUUGUCUAGAUAUCAUUUAGUACUUUUGGGAAUUUGUACGAGUACUAAUUUUUCUUGACCAUUUAAGAAUUUAUUUGAGUGCACAUAUUUAGUCUUAUAGGCUUGAAAUAUAUAUAUAUAUUUGGAUGCAUCGUAUCAUGUGCUAUGUCGUAAAGUUGCACCUUUGGGUGUAUAACUUUUAAAUAAAAGAAUGCACUUUUAUAUAUUUUAAACACUAUGAAUUGGACGUCUCCUUUUCAUUCAGGUGUAAAAUAGAAUCGAUUGAUCCGAGUAGACUUUUAGUCUAAGGGAGUAUUAAUCCCGGUAGGAUUUACAUGAGUAUUGACCUCAAUAGGAUUUAGGGGAGUAUUGAUCCCGGUAAGACAUUGAGUUUAAGGGAAUAUUGAUCCCAAAUAAAUGUAUAUCUUAGUAGAUUUGUCCCGAAGAUACAUUUAAUCUAAUUGGAUGUUGAAUCCGAAUUGGAGUAUAUGAACAUACUUCCAAGUAGAGAGGGACACAUGUCCGAAAUAAUAUUUGAGAUUUUUAUUAAUAUAUACGGGAUAAUCGAUCCGAGUCAUAAUACAAUUAGCCAUUAAGAAAGGCUUAUAUAUUUAACUUGAAUGGUCGUUAUUGGACCGAUAUAAGUCACGUGUUUGUUCAAAGUGAACUUUAUUCUGGAGGCAUAUUUGCAUAUAUUUAUCUUUACUUGGAUAUAAAACUCUCGUUUUUUAUCGUGGGAUUCUUGACUCUGACAUGGAGUUCUCGAUUCUUUUUGUGUACAUGUAGUAUAUGUAUUUUUGAAGAACUCGUUCAACAUUGUUUGAAUUGUUUAUGCUUGAUAUGAGCAAAACAACUAACUGAGUUGAGAUGGU
rnacentral:lncRNA from 1 species